CUCUCUCUAUAUAUAUAUAAAAGCCUCCCCUCCACUUCUUUAGGUGGGGCGGGUACUGGACCCAUCAUUCCCUCCUUCUUUGGGGGGGAAAAGGAGAAGCAGCAGCAAAGGUGGAAGAAACCUUUCCCCAUUUAGGACCUAAGUAGAGCAACAUUUAUCAUGAAGAAACCCCUGGGAAGUGAAUGGGCUGCAUUUGUGUGAAGCAGACAACAAUAAUUCAAGGAAUGAUAUAAAAGAUCAAAGGGGUCUUUCGGAAACCAGCAAAGAUGAAUAUGGUGAAAAGGAUAAUGGGUCGACCUCGUCAAGAGGAAUGUAGUCCUCAAGAUAAUGCUCUAGGACUGAUGCACUUGCGUCGACUGUUUACAGAACUGUGUCAUCCUCCUCGGCACAUGACCCAGAAAGAACAGGAAGAGAAACUUUACAUGAUGCUACCAGUUUUUAAUAGGGUAUUUGGAAAUGCUCCUCCAAAUACAAUGAUGGAAAAAUUCUCAGAUCUCCUACAGUUUACAACACAAGUAUCACGAUUAAUGGUGACGGAAAUUCGUCGGAGAGCUUCUAACAAGUCUACAGAGGCUGCAAGUCGUGCCAUAGUCCAAUUCCUGGAGAUCAAUCAGAGUGAAGAAGCCAGUAGAGGUUGGAUGUUGCUUACUACAAUUAACUUAUUAGCUUCGUCUGGACAGAAAACAGUGGACUGCAUGACAACAAUGUCAGUGCCUUCCACACUUGUGAAAUGUCUCUAUCUGUUUUUUGACCUUCCACAUGUGCCUGAGGCAGCUGGAGGAGCCCAGAAUGAGUUGCCUCUAGCAGAGCGUAGAGCGCUAUUACAGAAAGUGUUUGUGCAGAUCUUGGUGAAACUGUGCAGCUUUGUGUCCCCAGCAGAAGAACUUGCCCAGAAGGAUGAUCUUCAGCUUCUAUUCAGUGCAAUAACCUCAUGGUGCCCCCCGUAUAACCUGCCUUGGAGAAAGAGUGCGGGGGAAGUACUAAUGACCAUAUCACGUCAUGGCCUUAGUGUCAAUGUAGUGAAAUACAUUCACGAAAAAGAAUGCCUGUCAACAUGCGUUCAGAACAUGCAGCAAUCUGAUGACCUUUCUCCCUUAGAAAUAGUUGAGAUGUUUGCUGGCCUUUCUUGCUUCCUCAAAGAUUCCAGUGGUGUAUCUCAAACACUUUUAGAUGAUUUUAGGAUAUGGCAAGGAUAUAACUUCCUCUUUGAUCUCUUACUCAGGUUAGAACAAGCAAAAGAGGCAGAAUCUAAGGAUGCUUUGAAAGAUUUGGUUAAUCUGAUAACCUCAUUAACAACAUACGGUGUCAAUGAAUUAAAACCAGCUGGUGUUACUACAGGGGCACCUUUUCUGUUGCCUGGAUUUGCUGUCCCUCAGCCUGCAGGCAAAGGUCACAAUGUGAAGAAUAUCCAAGCCUUCUCUGUCCUACAGAAUGCUUUUCUGAAAGCAAAAACCAGCUACCUUGCACAAAUUAUCCUGGAUGCUAUCUUAAAUAUAUAUAUUGCAGACAAUGCCAACUAUUUUAUCCUGGAAUCCCAACACACUUUAUCUCAGUUUGCAGAGAAAAUUUCCAAGCUUCCAGAAGUACAGGCCAAAUACUUUGAGAUACUUGAAUUUGUUGUCUUUAGCUUGAAUUACAUCCCUUGCAAAGAACUGAUUAGCGUCAGCAUCCUCUUAAAGUCCAGCGCUUCUUACCCCUGUAGUAUCAUUGCAAUGAAGACUUUGCUUAAAUUUACACGGCAUGACUACAUCUUCAAGGAUGUAUUCAGGGAGGUGGGACUUCUAGAGGGGAUGGUGAACCUUUUACAUAAGUAUGCAGCUCUUUUGAAAGAACCUACACAGGCUCUGAAUGAUCAAGGAGACUCGAGGAACAACAGUACAUUUGAAGACCAAAAGCAACUUGCUUUGCUGGUCAUGGAGACCUUGACAGUACUGCUCCAAGGAUCAAACACAAAUGCAGGCAUCUUCAGGGAAUUUGGUGGAGCAAGAUGUGUACAUAACAUUGUAAAAUAUCCACAAUGCAGACAGCAAGCACUGAUGAUAAUACAGCAAUUGGUGUUAUCACCAAGUGGUGAUGAUGACAUGGGUACUCUUUUAGGACUGAUGCAUUCUGCUCCACCUACAGAAUUGCAGCUGAAAACAGACAUAUUAAGAGCCCUGCUGUCUGUACUGAAAGAGAGUCAUCGCACAAGGACAGUUUUCAGAAAAGUUGGUGGAUUUGUGUAUGUCACAUCAUUACUUGUUGCCAUGGAAAGAUCCUUGUGCUCUCCACCUAAGAAUGGCUGGGAAAAAAUAAACCAAAACCAAGUGUUUGAGCUGGUCCACACUGUGCUAUGCACCUUGACUGCAGCAAUGCGUUAUGAACCAGCCAACUCACACUUCUUCAGAACAGAGAUCCAGUAUGAAAAGCUUGCUGAUGCUGUGAGGUUACUUGGAUGCUUCUCAGACUCUAGGAAGAUAAGCCCUUUGAACAUCGUUCCCUCAAAUAUCCAACCAUUUCAAAGACUGUUGGAAGAUGACCUCAUCUCCAUGGAUUCUGUGUCACCCACUUUAAGGCAUUGCAGCAAACUCUUUAUUUACUUCUACAAAGUAGCUACAGAUUCUUUUGACAGUCGUGCUGAACAGAUCCCUCCUUGCCUGACCAAUGAGUCUUCUCUCCCCUCUCCUUGGGGCACACCAGCUUUGCCCAGGAAAAGGCAUGCAUAUCAUUCUGCUUCAACUCCGCCAGUAUUCCCUUUCAAGAAUUCUGCUGAUUUGAAGGUGCACAAAGGAAAUGUACCUCUGCCAAGUUCUGAUGCUGUCAUCAUCCAUCCUGGAGCCAUGCUUUCCAUGUUGGACCUCUUAGUCUCUGUUGGGUCUACUAUACAACCUGAACAUGCCCUUGAUCUUCAGCUUGCAGUAGCCAACAUCUUGCAAUCUCUAGUGCAUUCAGAAAGAAAUCAGCAAGUCAUGUGUGAAGCUGGACUCCAUGCACGACUUCUGCAGAGAUGUAGUGCUGCUCUUGCUGAUGAAGACCACUCUUUACAUCCCCCACUCCAAAGGAUGUUUGAAAGGCUGGCUUCUCAAGCAUUGGAACCAAUGGUGCUUAGGGAAUUUUUACGUUUGGGAAAUCCAUUAAAUUGUGGAGCCUGGGACAAAAAACUGUUAAAACGAUACCGUGUACACAAGCCAAGUUCACUUAGUUACGAGCCAGAGAUGAGAAAUAGUAUGGUUACGUCAAUGGAAGGCCUGGGUACUGACUGUGUGUUCAGCUUGCAUGAAGAUAACCACUAUAGGAUAAGUAAGAGCCUUUUAAAACCAGCAGAAGGAAGUACAGUGCCCCUGACAAGGGUAAAAUGUUUAGUAUCCAUGACAACCCCACAUGAUAUUAGACUUCAUGGAUCAUCUGUCACUCCAGCAUUUAUUGAAUUUGACACAUCUCUUGAAGGUUUUGGCUGUUUAUUCUUACCAAGUUUGGCACCUCACAACGCACCUACCAACAAUGUAGUUACAACAGGUCUUACUGAUGGCACUGUAGUCAGUGGAAUUGGAACUGGAGAGAGGCUUUUCCCACCACCAUCUGGUCUGAGUUAUUCAAGUUGGUUUUGCGUCGAACACUUUAGUACAGCUCCAAGUUACCAUCCAGUUAGGCUACUUACUGUUGUAAGACGAGCAAACAGCUCUGAACAGCAUUAUAUAUGCCUAGCUAUUGUUCUCUCUGUAAAAGACCGGUCACUAAUUGUUUCAACUAAAGAAGAGCUUCUUCAGAACUAUGUUGAUGACUUCGGUGAAGAAUCUUCUUGCUAUGAGAUCCUCCCUUGCUGUGCUCGUUUUCGUUGUGGUGAUCAUAUAGUAGAAGGCCAGUGGCAUCAUAUGGUUCUGGUGAUGAGCAAAGGCAUGCUAAAAAACAGCACUGCUGCACUCUACAUUGAUGGGCAACUGAUUAAUACUGUAAAACUUCACUAUAUUCAUAGUAGUCCUGGUGGUUCAAGUUGUGCUAACCCACCAGUAGUCAGCACAGUUUAUGCCUAUAUAGGCACACCGCCUGCCCAGCGCCAGCUCUCAUCACUCAUUUGGCGUUUGGGACCAACUCAUUUCUUAGAAGACGUCUUGCCUCCAUCAAGUGUUAGCACAGUUUAUGAACUCGGACCAAACUACGUUGGAAGCUUUCAAGCGGUAUAUAUGCCAUGUAAAGAUUCCAAACCAGAAGGCAUUAGUCCAUCUCCGAUAUCCUUGGUACCAGAGGAGAAAGUUUCUUUUGGGCUCUAUGCACUCUCUGUUUCCUCACUAACAGUGGCAAGGAUUAGAAAAGUUUAUAACAAAUUGGACAGUAAAGCCAUAGCCAAGCAGUUGGUUGUUUCAUCUCAUGAGAAUGCCACUCCGGUAAAACUGCUCCACAAUUCAGGAGGACAUCUGAAUGGACCUGCACGUACCAUUGGUGCAUCUCUGAUUGGAUAUUUGGGAGUAAGAACUUUUGUCCCUAAGCCUGUUGCCACUACAUUACAGUAUAUUGGUGGAGCAGCUGCUAUUCUUGGUCUAGUAGCCAUGGCAUCAGAUGUAGAGGGACUUUAUGCUGCUGUGAAGGCCCUUGUGUGCGUGGUGAAGAGCAACCCUCUGGCCAGCAAAGAAAUGGAAAGAAUCAAAGGUUACCAGUUAUUGGCAAUGCUUUUAAAGAAGAAGCGCUCCCUUCUGAACAGCCAUAUUCUCCAUUUGACCUUUUCCUUGGUGGGAACUGUUGACAGUGGGCACGAAACAUCAAUUAUUCCAAAUUCAACUGCCUUCCAGGACCUGCUUUGUGACUUUGAGGUAUGGCUUCAUGCACCCUAUGAACUUCAUCUUUCAUUAUUUGAACAUUUCAUUGAACUUCUUACUGAAUCCAGUGAAGCAGCAAAGAAUGCAAAAUUGAUGAGGGAAUUCCAGCUAAUCCCAAAACUGUUGCUGACUCUACGCGAUAUGUCUUUGUCUCAACCAACAAUUGCUGCUAUUAGCAAUGUGCUGAGCUAUUUGCUUCAAGGAUUUCCCAGCAGCAAUGACCUACUCAGGUUUGGACAGUUCAUCUCUUCUACUUUGCCUACAUUUGCAGUCUGUGAGAAAUUUGUAGUCAUGGAGAUGAACAAUGAAGAAAAACUUGAUCCUGGAACAGAGGAGGAUUUUGGAGGUCUUGUUUCUGCAAAUCUCAUUCUUCUGAGAAACAGAUUACUAGACAUCUUGCUUAAGCUUAUGUACACUUCAAAAGAAAAGACAAGUGUCAACUUGCAAGCUUGUGAAGAAUUGGUCCGGACCCUGGGCUUUGACUGGAUUAUGCUUUUCAUGGAAGAACACUUGCAUCCUACCACAGUAACAGCUGCCAUGAGGAUUCUGGUGGUUUUACUAAGCAAUCCAACUAUUCUCAUCAAGUUCAAGGAAGGCCUCACUGGUGGAGGCUGGCUUGAGCAAACAGAUUCUGUACUGACUAAUAAGAUUGGAACAGUACUUGGUUUUAAUGUUGGCAGAAGUGCUGGUGGCAGAUCAACUGUCAGAGAAAUUAACCGGGAUGCUUGUCAUUUCCUGGGCUUUUCGGUUCUUCAGUCAUUUCUUCCUAAGCACACAAAUGUGCCUGCACUCUAUUUCCUUCUCAUGGCCCUUUUCCUGCAACAGCCAGUCACUGAACUGCCUGAAAACCUGCAGGUCAGUGCACCUGUCAUCACCAGCCGAUGUAAUCAGGGUGGCCAGUUUGAUUUAGACUCAAUUUGGACAUUUAUAUUUGGUGUUCCUGCAUCAAGUGGAACUGUGGUUGUUUCAGUUCACAGUGUUUGCACAGAAGCUGCAUUUUUAUUACUGGGAAUGCUUAGGACCAUGUUGAAUUCACCAUGGCAGUCAGAGGAAGAAGGUUCUUGGCUUCGUGAAUAUCCAGUUACCUUGAUGCAAUUCUUUCGCUACUUGUAUCACAAUGUUCCUGAUUUGGCUUCAAUGUGGAUGAGCCCAGAGUUUCUUUGUGCCUUGGCAGCCACUGUAUUUCCUUUCAACAUCCGGCCAUACUCAGAAAUGGUUACUGAUUUGGAUGAUGAAGCUGGAUCCCCAGCAGAAGAAUUCAAAGCAUUUGCCUCUGACACAGGAAUGAACCGUAGCCAAUCAGAAUACUGUAAUGUUGGAUCCAAAACCUAUUUGACAAGUCAUCCUGCUAAGAAGUUUGUGUUUGACUUCAUGCGUGUGCUGAUAAUUGAUAACCUUUGUCUUACACCAGCUAGCAAGCAAACACCUUUGAUAGACCUCCUCCUUGAGGCUGCUCCAGAAAGAUCAACAAGGGCACAACAAAAAGAAUUUCAGACCUACAUUUUGGACAGUGUGAUGGAUCAUUUGCUUGCUGCUGAUGUGUUACUGGGUGAGGAUGCAUCUCUACCCAUUACAAGUGGAGGAAGUUACCAGGUGCUUGUAAACAAUGUGUUCUAUUUCACUCAGCGAGUGGUGGAUAAACUUUGGCAAGGCAUGUUCAACAAGGAAUCUAGGCUGCUUAUUGAAUUCAUAAUCCAGCUAAUUGCACAGGGGAAAAGAAGAUCUCAAGGAUUAUCACUGGAUGCCAUAUAUCAUUGCCUGAACCGGACCAUCUUAUAUCAGUUUUCGAGACCACACAAAACAGUUCCUCAGCAAGUUGCACUCCUGGAUUCUCUAAGAAUGCUUACUGUCAGCCGAAAUCUGAUUUUGGGACCUGGGAAUCAUGACCAAGAGUUCAUCAGCUGUCUGGCUCAUUGCUUGAUUAAUUUGCAUGCAGGGAGCAGUGUAGAUGGUUUUGGCCUGGAAGCAGAGGCAAGAAUGACUACUUGGCACAUUACAAUUCCUUCUGACAUUGAGCCUGAUGGAGUAUACAGUCAAGAUGUUAGUGAAGGUCGUCAGCUACUCCUGAAAGCUGUAAAUCGUGUUUGGACAGAACUGAUGUAUAGCAAGAAACAGAUUUUGGAAGAAGCAUUCAAAGUAACCCUCCCUGUCAAUGAGAGAGGCCAUGUGGAUAUUGCAGUGGCAAAACCUCUUAUUGAAGAAGCCAGUUUAAAAUGUUGGCAGAAUCACUUAGCUCAUGAAAAGAAAUGUAUCAGUAGAGGAGAAGCCUUGGUUCCAGCCACCCAAUCAAAGCUUUCACGGGUCAGCAGUGGCUUUGGUCUUUCAAAGUUAACUGGAUCAAGAAGAAACAGAAAAGAAAGUGGACUUAAUAAACACAAUCCAUCUACACAGGAGAUUUCUCAGUGGAUGUUUACACACAUAGCAGUGGUUCGAGACUUGGUAGACAUGCAAUAUAAAGAACAUCAGGAGCGUCAGCAAAAUGCACUAAAAUAUGUGACAGAAGAGUGGUCUCAGAUUGAAUAUGAAUUGUUACGGGAGAGAGGACUGUGGGGGCCUCCUAUUGGCUCUCAUCUGGACAAAUGGAUGUUGGAGAUGACAGAAGGGCCGUGUCGCAUGAGGAAGAAGAUGGUGCGCAAUGAUAUGUUUUAUAUUCAGUACCCUUACAUGCCAGAUACUGAACAUGAGACAAAUAUGCUGUAUGACUUCUCAAGUAAGCCUCCUGAGACAUCUGAUGAUACCAUUCCUCAAAAGAAACCUGCACGUUACCGAAGAGCAAUAAGCUAUGAUAGCAAAGAAUACUACAUGCGCCUAGCUUCUGGAAAUCCUGCUGUCUUUCAAGAUACCAUUGAAGAGAGCUCUGAAGGAGAAGCUGCUCAGCAGGAGCCAGAACAUGGUGAAGAUACAAUUGCAAGAGUUAAAGGUCUUGUUAAACCACCCCUGAAAAGAUCUCGUUCUGCCCCUGAUGGCGGUGAUGAGGAGAAUCAAGAGCAGCUGCAGGAUCAAAUAGCUGAGAGUAGCUCUAUAGAUGAAGAGGAAAAGACUGAUAAUACAACCCUUCUUCGACUGCUUGAAGAAGGCGAAAAGAUUCAACACAUGUACCGCAGUGCUCGGGUUCAAGGCCUAGACACCAGUGAGGGGCUGCUUCUGUUUGGUAAAGAGCACUUUUAUGUCAUUGAUGGAUUUACCAUGACUGCCACCAGAGAAAUACGGGAUAUUGAGACCCUGCCUCCAAAUAUGCAUGAGCCAAUUAUACCUAGGGGAGCACGACAGGGUCCAAGCCAACUCAAAAGAACAUGCAGCAUUUUUGCAUAUGAGGAUAUCAAGGAGGUGCAUAAAAGAAGAUAUCUCUUGCAGCCAAUUGCUGUAGAAGUCUUCUCAGGAGAUGGACGCAACUACCUUCUUGCUUUUCAGAAAGGAGUAAGAAAUAAAGUCUACCAAAGGUUUCUGGCUGUAGUUCCAUCUUUAACUGACAGCUCAGAGUCUGUAUCUGGACAGCGACCAAACACCAGUGUAGAACAAGGGUCUGGCUUGCUGAGCACCUUAGUAGGGGAGAAGUCUGUGACACAGAGAUGGGAGAGAGGUGAAAUCAGUAAUUUCCAGUACCUGAUGCAUUUAAAUACUUUGGCUGGCCGAUCUUAUAAUGAUCUCAUGCAGUAUCCUGUUUUCCCGUGGAUUCUUGCAGAUUAUGAUUCAGAGGAAUUGGAUCUUAACAGUCCAAAGACAUUUAGGAACUUAGCUAAACCAAUGGGAGCCCAGACUGAUGAAAGGUUAGCUCAGUAUAAGAAGCGCUACAAAGACUGGGAAGAUCCUAAUGGUGAAACUCCAGCUUAUCAUUAUGGAACCCACUACUCAUCUGCAAUGAUAGUAGCUUCAUAUCUUGUACGAAUGGAGCCCUUCACACAAAUAUUUUUAAGGCUUCAGGGUGGUCACUUUGACUUGGCUGACAGAAUGUUUCACAGUGUGCGUGAAGCCUGGUACUCUGCAUCCAAACACAACAUGGCAGAUGUCAAGGAGCUCAUCCCAGAAUUUUUCUACCUCCCAGAGUUCUUGCUCAAUUCCAACAACUUUGAUCUAGGUUGCAAACAGAAUGGCACUAAACUUGGGGAUGUAAUACUUCCCCCUUGGGCUAAAGGUGAUCCACGUGAAUUUAUCAGAGUUCAUAGGGAGGCUUUGGAAUGUGAUUUUGUGAGUUCACACUUACAUGAGUGGAUUGACUUAAUCUUUGGAUAUAAACAGCAAGGGCCUGCUGCAGUAGAAGCUGUUAAUGUGUUCCAUCAUCUCUUCUAUGAGGGACAAGUUGACAUAUACAACAUCAAUGAUCCAUUAAAAGAAACAGCUACCAUAGGAUUCAUUAAUAACUUUGGGCAGAUACCUAAACAGUUGUUUAAGAAACCUCACCCACCAAAGCGAGUAAGAAGCCGAAUGAAUGGAGAAAUGAGUGGAAUUUCUGUCCCACCAGGUUUUUCAAGUGAUAAGAUAUUUUUCCAUCAUUUAGAUAACCUCAGACCUUCCCUCGCACCAGUAAAAGAGCUCAAGGAGCGUGUAGGGCAGAUAGUAUGCACAGACAAAGGAAUUUUGGCAGUAGAACUGAAUAAAGUGCUAAUCCCACCUGCUUGGAAUAAAACAUUUGCAUGGGGUUAUGCAGAUCUGAGCUGCAGGCUGGGAGCCUAUGAGUCAGACAAGGCUGUGAUUGUUUAUGAGUGCUUAUCAGAAUGGGGACAGGUUCUCUGUGCCAUCUGUCCAAACCCCAAACUUGUCAUCACUGGAGGCACCAGCACAGUUGUCUGUGUAUGGGAGAUGGGCACGUCCAAGGAAAAGGCCAAAACACUCACUCUUAAACAGGCACUGCUUGGCCACACGGAGGCAGUCACAUGCUUAACAGCCUCACUGGCCUACCAUAUCAUCGUGAGUGGAUCUCGCGACCGUACCUGCAUAAUUUGGGAUUUGAAUAAACUCUCCUUUUUAACUCAGCUUCGAGGUCACAGAGCCCCCGUUUCAGCCCUCUGUAUUAAUGAAUUGACGGGAGACAUUGUAUCUUGUGCUGGCACAUAUAUCCAUGUGUGGAGCAUUAAUGGAAACCCCAUUGUGAGUGUGAACACUUUCACUGGACGCAGCCAGCAGAUCCUCUGUUGUUGCAUGUCAGAAAUGAAUGAGUGGGAUACCCAGAAUGUCAUUGUGACAGGGCAUUCAGAUGGAGUGGUCCGGUUCUGGCGGAUGGAGUUCCUGCAAGUCCCAGAAACUCCAGCUCCUGAACCUGUGGAGACACUUGAGAUGCAGGAAGAGUGUCUGGAACAACAAAUAGGGCAGGAAGUGCCCGAUGAGGAAAGCAGUGACUCUGAAACAGAAGAUCCAGGCCUUAGCCAGGAAACAAAGCUGCAAGACAGCCGGAUUCAGCCCAGCAGCUCCAACCCCCGCCCCCGGUCAUCCUCAAGCCGAGCAGCUGCUGCAUGGUCAGCAGACAGCAGCUCUGAUGACUCAAGGCGUUGGUCUGACCAGCUCAGCCUGGAUGAGAAAGAUGGCUUCAUCUUUGUAAACUACUCUGAUGGACAAACCAAGGGAUAUCCCCACACUCAAGCUAACCACCCUCAUCCUAAUCAAGGGGAAGUACGACAUUUCAGCAAGCUCAAGCCAGGCUACAGAUGGGAGCGGCAGCUGGUAUUCAGGAGCAAACUAACUAUGCAUACCGCCUUUGAUCGCAAGGACAACACUCAUCCUGCAGAGAUCACAGCAUUAGGCAUCUCCAAGGAUCACAGCAGAAUUCUUGUAGGUGACAGCAGAGGCAGAGUGUUUAGCUGGUCUGUAAGUGACCAACCCGGCCGCUCUGCAGCUGACCACUGGGUGAAAGAUGAAGGAGGAGAUAGUUGCUCCAGCUGCUCAGUCCGGUUUUCUCUUACCGAAAGACGCCACCAUUGCAGGAAUUGUGGACAACUCUUUUGUCAGAAUGUCACAGUUGUACUUCCUACCAAUAAUAGGAGGGAAAUGUUUGCACCAAGUUCUAUAGAAGAAGAGAUACGCUGAAUCUUACUUUGAGUGUCAUCUCUGUACACCCAUCAGUCCAGUGCUUGCAAAAAACCUGAUUUGGAGCAUUGUGGAGCUGAACAGUUUUGGCUAAAGUCCGAAUUCUCCUGGUAAUGGUUAUAUGCAAAGAGUGGACAUUCCUCUAUUCUUUCUCAGUUGCAAGUGUGCCAUGAAAGAUGCAGUCGCUUUCAGUCUGAAAUCAAGCGCUUGAAAAUUUCCUCACCAGUGCGGGUUUGCCAGAACUGUUACUACAACCUGCAGCAUGAGCGAGGCCCUGAGGAAGGAUCCUGGAAUUAGCAAGGCAGAGGGAGACAGUGCACACUCCAAGCAUUGCACUCUACGGUGCAAAGUACUCCAUGAAUUACAGGAACGUGCAGUACCUUUGGAAGGGGCUAGAUUGCUAGCCCUUGAACGUUUCCUGAUUGUACUGUGCAUUAAAAGCACUGCAAGCAUAAAGGGAUCAUUAAUUAUUUUGCGUGUACAUUUGCAGAGCUGGCGCUAAAAACAUUCACAUUAUCAGCAAGCAUCAGGUGGGAGAUGAGUUGUCACAACUGCAGUAAGAAUCCUGAAGACCCAGCUUUCCCCCCUAAUGGGGCCAAGAGGAAAAUCCAUCAUUAACCAUCUCUUGUUCAGCCUUGGUUUUGUAGAGGUAGUCACUUUAUUUGUGUUGCAGGAAGCAGGAGGCUUUUUAGAAGAUAGUUGUAAAUCUGCCUUCUUUGCAAGCAAACUGUGGAUAUUGUAAAUAGAUAUACUGGCCUUUUUAUCAAAAUAUGAAAUGAACUGCCUGUUACAUGGGACUUCAGACCAACCACUAUAUUUUGCAUCUCAUCUUUUGCUCAUCUGUCUACUUAAAUAUGAUUUUUUAAAAACAAAACAUCAAGAGGCAUUAUCUGUAUUAUUUUUCCUUUACAGUCCAGGCUGCAUGUUUAUUUUUUUUCAGUUGUUCAAACAUUAUCUUAACUUAAACCAAGCUAUUUAAGGCAGGUUUUGAAAAGGGGGUAGGAGAAAAAAACACAAUCCACUUCUUUGGGACAGUAGUAUAUGGAACAUUUUCUUCUAAAUUAUAAGAUAAUGAACAUCUUUUUGUUGCAUUUUCUAAAAUAUAGAAGCUAUGUAAAACAUGUCAUUUAAUAUUAGGUCUCUUUUUAUACAAUGUGGACCAGCCGCUUCCCUCAUUUUUAAGAUAAUGCAAAUACCAGGUUUUAUUUUCAGGUAAACGGCUUGCAUGAAAGUCAUCUUUCCUUUUUUUUCCCUUGAAGAAGACAAUAGACCAUUAUUUUUCCCUACAAAAUAGCCUUGAAAUCCUUGGUCUUACAAAUGGAUAAUGCUAAUCUAAUCUACUGAGAGAUUUCUUCUGCAUAAGACCCAUUGAAAUGAAUGGGAGCCACAAAACAAUUGUCCAUUUUUCAUUCAGUACAGUGGGGCUUCUUUGUUCUCUUGGGUGUUGCACUCAGUGUUUUCAUCCACUUUAUAAUCCACCUUUCACAUUCCUUGGUGUUUUAAGAUGUAGUGAGGAACAUACAGAUGAGACCCAGUCUCAUUAUCCUCUUUGGAGUGAGCCUUUGAAAUGUGGUGGUUUACUUAUUUAUUUUCACUCCUGACAAGUAUGCAUUUUUCCUAAAUGGAAAAUGAGAUGAAUUGGCAUUGAAAGGUUAGGUGUUUGCUGUUUUUUAACAAUGGAAAAGGCAAAGCUCAAAAAAUCAUCAAGAGAAACCCAAACCUUGUCACACCAUUAAGUAGAAUGGAAUGUGGCACAACACACCUGUAUUCUGACCAUCAUUCUUCAGCUGGGAGUGAGGAGAAACAUUUACACUGCUUGGAGUAGCUGGCAAAGGAUAAAUGGGAACACACACACUCCACUGGUUUUGUUAUUUUGUCCUUUCUUUUAGUAGCAACACCGCUUGUCCCACUGAUUUGAUGGUUUUGGUAAUGACAUUUACUUAUAAAAUGAUGGACUGCAAGGAUUAAAACAAAAUGGUCAUUUGGUAUGUGCACUUCAAGUCCCCCAAAGAGAGAUUCCACAUGAAUUCAUGUAAGCUUUUUAAGAUUGCUUGAGGGUUUCAGAAACAAGCAAAUCUGGUCCAGUAGCUGUUUUGCCUUGUUCAAAUAGCUCUGCUUUGUUAUUUUCUAGGAAAAUCAGUUUUCUCCUUAACUUGCUCAGUACUUUAUUAUUUCCCUGGGCUAACAAACAGAAUUUCCAAGCCAGUUGGGUUAGAGGAUUCGCUAGAAGCAAUUGAACUAAAUCAGCUGUAAGCAAUUUGUAGCUUUCCCAGGUGCUGUUGGAUUAAAUCUCCUAUCAACAUUAUAGCCAGUGAUUAAGAAUUAUGGGAGCUGCAGUCCAACUUCAUCUGAAGGGACUGCAGGUUGUCCUUCCCUGGCUUUAUUAGUUGUAAGUACAAGCAGCCUUAAGUGGCUUAUUGAACCCCCCCCCCCCCCAAUAACACUUGUUUUCAAAUGGCAAAUAUAUUCUACAAAGGAAGUGUUUUGUCAAAAAUUUUUCAAGCACCUUCAUUCCUCAGAUUUUAAUUUCACCAAGUAAACUAAACACUCAUUUAAUGUAGAAGAACUUAACUUGAUGUCUAUCUCUUUAGUGGGAGAAGAAUUUGGGGCGUCUCCAAAUCGUAAUAAAUUUCUGCAGAUGAAAUUCUAAGCACUGGAUAGCAUUAACACUCCAGAUACAACUAAUGCUGGGCCAUUAGAAAAACAGCAGGAUGUGUAGCGAUGUUUACUAUGUUUGUUUGUUUUUUUUAAAAAUCUGUAUUUAACUACAUUGACCAUGUUGUACCAGUGUUAUUCUACACUUUUUACAUUUGGCACUCUUAAGACAGAAGGUAAUCAGUCUUCUGUGUGGCUAUUGUGUGUAGGUGUAUUUCAGACUGAGUAUAUACUGAAUGCCUCAGCUGCUUGAUGGGGGAGGAAUUCUUCCUAAGGCUAUUUGUGUGUUUGGGAUGCAGGGAAUAGAUCCUGUUGAUCUGGGAGGGGUGGAUUCGGGGCUCAACUGCACUGAGGAGAGCUGUUUUCCAGCCUCCUUUCCUUUCAGUAGCACCUCCCUUGAGGUUCUCACAAGUUCUGUUGGAAGGAAAGGAUGCUGAGAUACAUAUUCUUGUGUGUAGCUGCAUCCUUAGUGCAGGUAAGCCUUUGUAUUUUACUGGCAACUGCUGCUGUGAUCCAAAUCAUUUUUUGUAACAGCCCCGUACGUCGACUUCCAUCCAAGUCCCGGGCCAAGCAACUCAGUGGCUUUCUUUUCCCAAAUAGCAAUUUUGUGUGUUUGCAUCUGAACUUUUUUGAGCAGAAACAGCACACUAGCCCAUUUUGCACUGUCCAAUAGCUCUCCUUCUGCCUUGUUCCUUCCACACACACUCCCUUUGUAAUGUGCAACUGCAGUGUUCAAGUUUAGAAAGGUGAGAGUGGCUGCCUCCACCCUUCCAUCCAUCUGUUCAAUUGCAAAAAGGAAAAUAAAAAAAAAACACUUUAGAGACAUUAUUUUGCACUUUCUUAUGUAUAAAAAUCAGUAGAAACUUAUUUUUUGCUUUGUAUCAUUUAAAAUACUCUCCUUUUUGUUUUGGUAAAUGAGCUGUGUAUAAAAAUAUUUAUGCAGUUAAAACUGUUUUUAGAAAAUAUUUUUAAUUUCAGCAAGUUUGGUUACUUGUUGCAUGACUUAACACAACUGACUUUUUGUGUCAGUACAAUGUAUAUUUUUUGUCCAGUUAUUAAUUUGUAAACCCAAGGUAAAUGGCCAUUUAUUUGUACAGCAACAGGAGUAAAUUGAAGAUAUAACUGGCUAUGACUGGAGGGGGGUGGAGUUUUGUACUAUAUUGCAGAAUUCAGUAUCUGUUUUUUGGUGGUUAUGUAAAAGGCCUAAAGAACUACUAUCUAGUGUGAGAUCUGUGAUAUCUGAAUGUUUUAUUGUAUAUUUGUCUCCAAUGCAAAAAGGUAGAGUAACACAAUUACAAUACAUGAUUAAAUGCAAUAGUUCAGGUACCUUUUGGUUUUGGUUUUCAUUUCAAAUAAAUACUUGCUAUUUACCACCAAA